UCAGGACGAACGCUGGCGGCGUGCCUAAUACAUGCAAGUCGAACGAACUCUGGUAUUGAUUGGUGCUUGCAUCAUGAUUUACAUUUGAGUGAGUGGCGAACUGGUGAGUAACACGUGGGAAACCUGCCCAGAAGCGGGGGAUAACACCUGGAAACAGAUGCUAAUACCGCAUAACAACUUGGACCGCAUGGUCCGAGUUUGAAAGAUGGCUUCGGCUAUCACUUUUGGAUGGUCCCGCGGCGUAUUAGCUAGAUGGUGGGGUAACGGCUCACCAUGGCAAUGAUACGUAGCCGACCUGAGAGGGUAAUCGGCCACAUUGGGACUGAGACACGGCCCAAACUCCUACGGGAGGCAGCAGUAGGGAAUCUUCCACAAUGGACGAAAGUCUGAUGGAGCAACGCCGCGUGAGUGAAGAAGGGUUUCGGCUCGUAAAACUCUGUUGUUAAAGAAGAACAUAUCUGAGAGUAACUGUUCAGGUAUUGACGGUAUUUAACCAGAAAGCCACGGCUAACUACGUGCCAGCAGCCGCGGUAAUACGUAGGUGGCAAGCGUUGUCCGGAUUUAUUGGGCGUAAAGCGAGCGCAGGCGGUUUUUUAAGUCUGAUGUGAAAGCCUUCGGCUCAACCGAAGAAGUGCAUCGGAAACUGGGAAACUUGAGUGCAGAAGAGGACAGUGGAACUCCAUGUGUAGCGGUGAAAUGCGUAGAUAUAUGGAAGAACACCAGUGGCGAAGGCGGCUGUCUGGUCUGUAACUGACGCUGAGGCUCGAAAGUAUGGGUAGCAAACAGGAUUAGAUACCCUGGUAGUCCAUACCGUAAACGAUGAAUGCUAAGUGUUGGAGGGUUUCCGCCCUUCAGUGCUGCAGCUAACGCAUUAAGCAUUCCGCCUGGGGAGUACGGCCGCAAGGCUGAAACUCAAAGGAAUUGACGGGGGCCCGCACAAGCGGUGGAGCAUGUGGUUUAAUUCGAAGCUACGCGAAGAACCUUACCAGGUCUUGACAUACUAUGCAAAUCUAAGAGAUUAGACGUUCCCUUCGGGGACAUGGAUACAGGUGGUGCAUGGUUGUCGUCAGCUCGUGUCGUGAGAUGUUGGGUUAAGUCCCGCAACGAGCGCAACCCUUAUUAUCAGUUGCCAGCAUUAAGUUGGGCACUCUGGUGAGACUGCCGGUGACAAACCGGAGGAAGGUGGGGAUGACGUCAAAUCAUCAUGCCCCUUAUGACCUGGGCUACACACGUGCUACAAUGGAUGGUACAACGAGUUGCGAACUCGCGAGAGUAAGCUAAUCUCUUAAAGCCAUUCUCAGUUCGGAUUGUAGGCUGCAACUCGCCUACAUGAAGUCGGAAUCGCUAGUAAUCGCGGAUCAGCAUGCCGCGGUGAAUACGUUCCCGGGCCUUGUACACACCGCCCGUCACACCAUGAGAGUUUGUAACACCCAAAGUCGGUGGGGUAACCUUUUAGGAACCAGCCGCCUAAGGUGGGACAGAUGAUUAGGGUGAAGUCGUACAAAGGG
rnacentral:rRNA from 2 species